GUAUUGUGAAUGAAAGGUGAAAAGAAUACCGAAAGGUAGGUGAAACAGCUUUGCUUGUACAUUAUUCAUUUCAAGUCACAUAACACAUAAGAUCACAUCACAUUAGCAACUUAUCAUCCUACAUCACUAAUAUAACUGCUUGUGGAAGAAAGAAUUGUCGAAUUUCAAUCACCACACUAUAAAGUGUUUAAAGCCCGAAUACUGGCGAUCUAACUAUGGGAUAAUCCUUUUCACACUAUGAGUCUAUUGAAGAUUAAAAUGCUCAGGGGUACACACCUGCCAUCCAACCAAUAGUUAGCAGUUAAAUUUUAUACGAGCCAAUGUUAAUAUCUGGAUCUGUUCGAAAGAAAUAAUGCUGUCUAAUAGGUGUCGUUUACAUUGUCCCGCCUCAGGCCUACGGCCAUUAGAGGUGGGAUUCUUACUUGUAAAAUGAUUGGCUCAUUAAUCGUUAAGCCAUGGAAAUAAGAUUCACAGUUUAGGGUAAAGUGUCCUUCAUUAAAACUAUCCAUCAUUCGCAAUUUCGUUAAGAUGGGUGUUCGCUUAUGUAACAAAUGGGAAAAGCCCAAAUAAAUAGCUAAAGUUCUGUCUUAAAUCAAAUUCAACAAGCAACUUAUCACAAAUAACUCAAAAGUAGGAUUAAUAGGAUCCAUCUUUUUAAAAGUGUGUAGCAUCUUAUGAGCUAAAUUAUCC
rnacentral:rRNA from 1 species